GGGUCACACAGGGUAUCGGACUCGCACACAGUGUUACUGGCUUCCCAUGAACCUGAAACAGAGGUGUUGAAAUGUGUCCAAACAGGUGUUUCACACUCCAAGAUUCUGCACUUGGCACUGGUUCAUAAAGGAUCUUUGCACUUGGCCGUUUCAUACAAACAAACAUCAGGGGUGGAUGGUGACACAUUUUCAUGUGACUUCACUGUGCCAGUUGAGUUUCAGCAGAACAACAGUUGCCUGUUUUCCAAGUUGUGCAGAAAAGAACAAAAUGACCUGAUACUAAACUAAGAGGCUGGAACAGCUGGAGCAAAACACCUCAUGUGGGGUAUUUGCUCCACUGAUAGUAGGAAAAUGACUAAAUUAAAAAGCCCUAAUUGCCCAGUUUGUGUGUGUGUGUGUUGUUGUAAUGCUGAAACAAUUAGUUGAUUAACCAAUUAAGUUGACCAAGGAAAUUAGACGCCAACCAUUGAUAAGCCACAUUCCUGCUAUCUAUUCAAUCACAGAUGCAAUACAACAAUAGUUUGCAUUUUCAAAUGUGACUAUUGGCUUUUCCCUUGUUUAUGUUGUUAAAGAGUUUGGAGCUGUUGGUUGGACAAAACAGGCAACAUGAAAACUUUACCUCUGGCUUUCCAAGUUCCCAACCUGAGGCUUUCUCAUCGUUUAACAUUUUACAGUCUAAACGGUCAAUAAAUAAAAUCUGAAUGAUCAAUCAUUGAAAUAAAAUUGCAAGCCUAUAUUUGCUUACCUCAGUAUUUAAAGACAAUGUUUAACUACUGGCUGUAGUCAGCUGGUCACCAUACACCUUGAACCAGUGUUACACAACGGUCUGUGUCAGUCACAUUUAGUGAAAGGAACAGAAUGGUUAAUUAACCAGGGUGUGAAGGAAAGGUUCAAUUUUAGUUGGGCCAUUUUCUGUCCACAUGGCACAAGUCAGGUCAUUGUUAACGGUACGUCUACUGGAAAUACUUCCUCAGAGGCAAAAGCAACGAAACUCACAACAGGUUCUUUGUAUUGUCUCAGAACUGGAGGGGACACAGAUUCAAGUGUAACACCCAUAUGAUUAAAAUAUGAAUACACUCGGCCUGAACAGCGUGCCCGCUAAGCGCCACAUUUAAAAAAAAAAAAAAAAAAAAAAAGGGGGAAGAAAGAAACGGUACUUUGCCAGUGGAGCUCCUCCUCAAGCACCGUGUCAGAAAUGAUCCGACCGACCUGAGUCAGCGGGCUCUGGCUACAACACGGACCUGGCUGCUUUAUUGUUGUCUCUUCGGAUACAACAACAUGCUAUGCUUCGUGUAUGCGGAGCUGGCAGCUAACGAGACCGCAGAAGCUACGAGCCAGCACCGGUGUUAGCAAACUUUAAUUAGCAGCGUCAUGGUGCGGCGAAUAAAACUCGACGGAUUUACCGGUCUGUCGUUAUAAUAUAAUCAAUAUAGUUCACCAAACCCCCAACAACAAACGCUGUCGUCGAAGAGAUGGCUCUAUUUCCCACCAUAUCGUGAAAUGGACAGCUAGCUAGCAUGUUAGCCGAAGUCAAAGUUUCGUAACCCCCAUUCAAAGCAGCGGGCAGGCUGCUAUCGAUACCGCUAGCACAGUUGCUAACACCGUCGCUAAGACAACGAAAUCAGACAUCUGAAAGUAAGGAACUUCAGUGUGACGUGUCAAAAAGUUGUCCAAACUUACUUGUUUUGAUAUGCAUGUCUUUUCGUUCCAAGUGUCGCUGAAGUUAAACCGUUCAGUAACUUUUGUUUACAACGUUAAGGUAACGACGGCUCGCUGGAUCGGUCUUGUGUGGCCACCCGGAAGCGACACGAGAAUGUGGGUGGGACAGGAAGUCCCUGUAGAUAAGCGGUCCGGCGGGAAACUUGGAGGGAAUUUUAAUCAUCAACCCUUGCGCUAAAGAUGACCCAUGUGAUAGCCACGUGGGGGUCUAACUGGAUGACGGGGUUUUUUCUCUUUAAAAUAAAAGAUUUUAACACUAUGAAAAAUUAGUUCAGAGGUCUUUAUGCAAAUGUGAUAUUACAGCAAAACUUGUUCCUUCACACAUAUGCCACAUUAAGGGAUUUACAUAAAAUAUGAUGAAACAAUAUACAAUUAUUAGAUUUAAUUUACAAACUUUAUUUAUCCUGAGGGAAUCUGCUGUGUAGCAGUCGCAGUACAAAGUCAUAAAGAGUGCAAAUACCUGAGAGCAAAUUGAUUUGAUGUGCAACCCAAAUGUACACAACGUCAGAAAUGUAACGGAACCUGUGUGUGACACAAACAUAAACUUGUUAAGGUGCAAAUUCCAACUAUAUACUCAAUGUUAAAGUAAACAAGUUGACAGUGAUGAUCACAAAAUUAGGCAAAUUAAUGGUGAGGUGCAGAUCUAAAAAAAAAACCCCACACUAUACCAAAUAAUAUACAUAAGACAGUUAAAGCAAAGAAAACUUGGAAUACUUGUUUGAGGAAGUAAAGUAAGCCCUAACAAAGUCAAAAUCGGCGUGUUUUCCAAAUUCAAUGAAUUCCCUACCUGUGUGUCGGGACCCCAGGAGCUUGCAUGAUGAGAACGGAAUAGGACUAAUGGCACAUAAAUGACUCUAAUUGUUGUUUUCUUGAGCAAUAAGAAAUAUUUGACCUUUGCAGGCCUCUAAAAUAAAUUAGAAAGAAGACUCAAAACUUGGUUUACAAAUGUGGUCUGGACCCCACCAGCAUCCAUAAUCUAAUCUGAUGAUACAACAAAUCGGAGUCAUCAUGGUUGCAGAACUACAGACAAUGUGCUCUAAAGUAGUGCUGUAACUACAACCUCAGUUCACAGGCUCUUCCAUAUUCAGUUUUGAGUGGAUUACACACAUCCUGCCUCUCAUUGUCCUGAAUGUAACAACCUUUAAUCAGUUUAUACAGAAAGCAGUGAUCAGUCACACAGUGGAGAGGAAGCAUGCAAACUGUUGUUUUAAAAUCAACGAGACAAGUUAUUUCUAACACUACACAGAUCAAUGAAUGAGCUAUUAACUCUUCACAAUAAAUGAGUAACUUAAGGGAAACUCACCUUGGAUAUCUGAGCAGUCCUCCAGUGCUACUGGCCCAUCAGUGGCUCCAUCCUUAAAAUCUGUGGCCUCCUCCCCCUUUCUCGCACACCUCUGUGGCCCUUCUCCGCUGCUCCUCUUCUGCAUUGUGUUUGUGCACCUUCUCAUAGCUUCGUCCCUGUUCAGGUGUGUUUUGCUUUCCUUGGUUUCCUUCACCUUGUUUUUCUUUUCUCCCUCCUCUAAACCAGAGCCUUUACACUCUGUGUCAGCUUCUCUGCUCUCAUCACCUCCAUGAAUCUUCACUUUCUUUCACUUUCUUUGGCUCCUCUGUGGAUAGUUUGGCUUGUUUUCCUCCUCCUGUUUCUCUCCAGAGCUCCCAUUGUCCUUUCUUCUCUGCCCUGUCCUGCUCUUUGACUUUUUCUGGCUUUAUCGCUUGUCCCACACUCUACUCUAUUGCCACUGUCCUGUAGAUUCCCCACCUCCUGAUCUCUUUGAUCAUUUAUCUUUUGAAAUGACCCUCAAUGUUAUCUGUUAUCUGCCGUCUUUAUCGCCCCCCCAGUUAAGUUAAUAAAUAUAUAUAUUUUAAGCACAGACAGAUUUUCCUUUAAUAACCUAAAAUGUCAUCCCUGCAUUGUUUUAUAGGCACCAUCAGCAUCCUCUUAACCUUCCUGGGUGGCGCACCCAACAUCUCUGCCAGAACUAAGAAAGACUGUAAUAAUGACCCAAGGCGACUGGUUGGCAACUGUCAAUGCUCCUACUGUUCUCAGACACCUUCCUUUCACAAUCAGAGAUUGGGUUUGUUCAUUUUAAAUAAUGUCUCUCUCCCUGGGUUUCCCUGGCAGGUCGAAAACUGAAUCUGAGCUGUCCCGAGACAAUCGUAAGGAAAGGAAAGCAGACAAAGCUUCAGAUGUUUUUCUUUUUUUGGAUGGUUUUUUUUUUUACGUCACUGUAAAGUCCAUUCUCAGUGGAUAAGCACUGGUGAAUUCAAGUUUCUACCUCACACUGUACAAGUUGCAUACUGGACCAGGACUGACUUCCAAACUAUUUGUGAUGUCACAAAUCAGAUCAGUAGAUCCCAUCCCUUAAAACCUGAUUUUCAGAAACUUUCCACUUUAAUAUGGAAAGUGACUUCCUAUGUUCACAAAGCCAGACAGGACAAUACUUCAAUUCAUGUAACAGUGUCACCAAAAUAAAAAAAUAAAAAUGAAACUAUUCAAUUGA